UGGGGAAUUUUGGACAAUGGGGGAAACCCUGAUCCAGCCAUCCCGCGUGUGCGAUGAAGGCCUUCGGGUUGUAAAGCACUUUUGGCAGGAAAGAAACGUCGCGGGUUAAUACCCCGCGAAACUGACGGUACCUGCAGGAUAAGCACCGGCUAACUACGUGCCAGCAGCCGCGGUAAUACGUAGGGUGCAAGCGUUAAUCGGAAUUACUGGGCGUAAAGCGUGCGCAGGCGGUUCGGAAAGAAAGAUGUGAAAUCCCAGAGCUUAACUUUGGAACUGCAUUUUUAACUACCGGGCUUGAGUGUGUCAGAGGGAGGUGGAAUUCCGCGUGUAGCAGUGAAAUGCGUAGAUAUGCGGAGGAACACCGAUGGCGAAGGCAGCCUCCUGGGAUAACACUGACGCUCAUGCACGAAAGCGUGGGGAGCAAACAGGAUUAAAUACCCUGGUAGUCCACGCCCUAAACGAUGUCAACUAGCUGUUGGGGCCUUCGGGCCUUGGUAGCGCAGCUAACGCGUGAAGUUGACCGCCUGGGGAGUACGGUCGCAAGAUUAAAACUCAAAUGAAUUGACGGGGUCAUAGCUG
rnacentral:rRNA from 1 species